AUUCAGCUGACAAGUCUCAGAUAGAACGAAACGCGCGUCCUAGAU
rnacentral:hammerhead_ribozyme from 1 species